rnacentral:rRNA from 1 species
AUUGAACGCUGGCGGCAUGCUUUACACAUGCAAGUCGAACGGUAACAGGCCGCAAGGUGCUGACGAGUGGCGAACGGGUGAGUAAUGCAUCGGAACGUGCCCAGUCGUGGGGGAUAACUACUCGAAAGAGUAGCUAAUACCGCAUACGAUCUAUGGAUGAAAGCGGGGGACCGUAAGGCCUCGCGCGAUUGGAGCGGCCGAUGUCAGAUUAGGUAGUUGGUGGGGUAAAGGCUCACCAAGCCAACGAUCUGUAGCUGGUCUGAGAGGACGACCAGCCACACUGGAACUGAGACACGGCCCAGACUCCUACGGGAGGCAGCAGUGGGGAAUUUUGGACAAUGGGCGCAAGCCUGAUCCAGCAAUGCCGCGUGCAGGAAGAAGGCCUUCGGGUUGUAAACUGCUUUUGUACGGAACGAAACGGCUCUGGUUAAUACCCGGGGCUAAUGACGGCACCGUAAGAAUAAGCACCGGCUAACUACGUG